rnacentral:lncRNA from 1 species
CUUGUCCCUGGGGGAGGUCUGCACCCCCGGAGGGAGGAGGAGGGCCAGGGCUAGGGCCGCUGCGGCGGGUGGCGGACGCCGCCGGCCCUUCCCCCGCGCUCCUUCGCUGCCUCCCCCUGCUCCCCGCCCCUCCUCCUCUCCAUCCUCCCUAUCCUCCUCCGGGUCCCCGGCAGCCGCAGCUAGGGGAGCAGCCGGCGGCACCCGGGCUUCUCAGCCUUUGUCUCGGGCCGCGGGGCGCGCCGGGCCCAGCGCAGCAGGCCACGCGGGGACGGCGGAGGCUGCGAGGACUGGCAGUCAUGGAAAAACGGGAAAGGAGCCGGCCCGGCGUCACCACCGUCACCACCAUCACCAUCACCACCAUCACCGACCGUCGCCCAUCCCACACCCCGCCUCAUCUCCAUCUCAUCUCCCCGUGCCCUGCCAACUUUGUCAGACCAUUUCCUUUGCAUCGGGUAACACUUGGACAGAAAGAUCGCGAGUGAGCGCGACGUUCUGGGACGUUCAUCUAACGGGUCCCUGGGCCGCCUCGGUUUUCCCAUCAGGGAAAGGGGCCUGUGGCGGCUCCUUCCGCAUAGCCGCUGAGGUGGCUGGUUGUCUGGCUGUUCAAUCCUGGUGCUAGAAGGGACAGAGAGACAUGUCAAUUGUUUACGAUGACAGUGACACCAGAGUAGUUUCUUCAUCAAACCAGAGGUUUGGAGUUUGAGACUUCAUCUCUUUUCUUUUAAGCGUCGAAAUAUUAAUAGCAAAUGAAAACGUAGAGAAAUGAAACUUUGAACUAUUCCGAAAAAGAAGCAAAAGCAGGUAUUUUUGUAGGAAAAUCACUUCAGUAUGCUAAGAGCAGUUCCCUUUGUGUGGAGUGGACAGUGUCCUUUUAAAAGUGCUGUCUUUCUGGUGAAGCUCAUUAUUUUGCACGCAUACCAUGUACCCUCGGGAGCUUUCCACCCCACCUGAGGAGUGUCUUAAUUACAGCUCAGCACAGAACAGUGAGAACAAACACAUGUUCCUAGAAUAGGCCUGGGCAUCUGCCUCCUUUUGAAAAGAUAGUAAGAUCCUAAGUCCAUUCUUUAUUUCCCCUAUUGUUGCUGGAAAUUUGGGGGAACCCUGCGUUGGUUGCCACGUUUCCAGGGUCAAGGUCAACAGGAG